UACAGAGGUCUCAAGCGUUGUUCGGAUUCAUUGGGCGUAAAGGGUGCGUAGGUGGCAUGGUAAGUCGGAUGUGAAAUCCCGGGGCUCAACCCCGGAACUGCAUUCGAUACUGCUGCGCUAGAGUACUGGAGAGGAGAUUGGAAUUUACGGUGUAGCAGUGAAAUGCGUAGAUAUCGUAAGGAAGACCAGUGGCGAAGGCGGAGCUCUGGACAGUUACUGACACUGAGGCACGAAGGCCAGGGGAGCAAACGGG
rnacentral:rRNA from 1 species